CAGUGGGGGGGCCGUCAGGGGACCCGUGAGGGGACCCCUGUGAGGGACCCGCCGCCCCGGGACCCGCCGCCUCCCGCCCUCCACUGCCCUGAGAACCAUGUCCUGCUUCCCCUCCACGGGCAGCUUGUCUUCCCUCUAUGCCGAGCCGCCGAUUGACCCCUCAGUGUGUCCCCCUCAGUGUUUCGCCCACAGCUCCCUUUGCGCUCGUGUGAGGGAGGACGUGGCAGAAGGACAAGCAGCAAUGGACUCAAGGAGCAGCAAGGAAGUUUUGUUUUUUUAGACAUGAGGGAUUUUCAGUCUUCAGAACCGUCACAAGCAGCAAGUUAGGAGUACACAAAAACAAUGCAACUGAACUUUCACUGAGUUCUAUUCCUGCUUCCCAGGGUGCGUGGAAAGACCAACAACACUUCCAGUACUGGAGGUUUUGCACAAACCUUGGAAAGGAAAUAGCUGUCACCAGAGUUUAAGCCUGAUGUGCUCUAGCCACAUCUCACAACUGGCCACAACUGACCAGUACUGGUUAGUAUGUCUGUCUCUUGCUCAUUAUCUGUUUCAAAAAGGGGACCAAAUUUUUAAUUUUCAGCUAAUGUGGGUCUAAUUAAGGCUAUUCUGGUAUAUUUGAUACUAAAAUACUCUCUGGGAGUCCUUUUCCUGAAAUCCCGUCAGAAUUAACAUUUUCAAAAAUGAAAACAUUUAAAAUAGGUGUUCUGAGUUGAAAUGCUGAUGCAGCGGUUGGUUCAGUGUUUCCGUGUCCUCCGGAGCCGUAUCACGUCAGGAUGGUGUCAUCAAUCUGUUCCUCGGAGUCAGCCUGCCCAGCCAGCUUCCGCAGGGACCGCCGGCAGCUCUCGUUGAGGAGCUCCAGGCUGGCAGCAUCUAAAAUCUUGGAAACCGACUGUGGAAGGAAGGCAACACCAAUUACCAGCUCCUCACGACACACCACUCAAAGUAAGAAUAAGCAUAAGUGCCUUACAAGCUGCAUUUAGCUAAAAAUCUUUCGAAUAUACCAAAAUUCUUCAUCUGGUUUUACAAUUCCAGACAUGGGAACUAUCCAAAAGCAGGUCAGACUUAGAAAACAGGUCUGGAAAUGGAUGCAUGAAGUAGUCCAUUCUAAAAUACCCCCUAGCACCACUGCAGUGGGAUCAUACAAGUGGCCAAAGCAAUAAAUUAUCAGUGCCAACUGAGGGAACUCCAGCACAGGGGAGGCUUAAGGCAUUUGUCAAACAGGGGGGGUGCAUUAAAAGCCUUGAUUCUGUUAAUGCUGCACUGUAGGGUUGUGCAGUAUCAGUAUCACUUAUUUCUUCAGGGCUUAGCAUGAGAAUACUGCUGAAGGCCUAAAUGCAAAUAGGAAUGUCCCACUCCACCUACUUCAUAAGAGACUUCCAGUACAUUCUGAGGCUGCAGGCACCACAGACAAAUGCAGAGUGAGGUGACACAGCCUUGCUACCAACAAUGACAUUUCCUUGUGUCUCAUACCUCAAGCACGUCUUCACCCGCUCUCAUCUUCAGAAGGUUGACAAUAGCCUGGUCACUGUAGGCUCUUACACUGGUGUUUUUGUCCUUUGUGUUGUCCAGAAGCGCUUUGAGAAUUGGUUUAAUUGUCUGGGGAUCCAGUGGGGGAAGUUGGCUUUUAUUUGCCCACCAAAUCAUCUUUUCUGCAACUAAUUUUAUGUCACUGGAUGAGUUCUGAAGACACUGAAGGAUACAAAGGUGCAAUUAAAUUCAAGUAUACCAAGAACAGAGAUGAGAACUUGAAGAACCAGAACAGUUGUGUCAUUUCACCACAAAAACUGCACCUAGCCAAGGGAGAACCUCCAGAUGGCACUUGGGGGGUUUUGUCUUCUUUGGUAACACAAGAGAACCUGGUCACACAACCUUUCAAAGCUGCUCCCAACAAGAGCUCGUGACAGUGCUCACCCAUCCUCAGGCAGGACUCACCCUGUCAGCUGUGGCGUUGCUGAGGAUCAUCUCCUGAACGCUGUUGUAGUAUUUUGGGGAACACAGCCUGCCAGGAGCAACGUUCACAGCCACGGAGAGAGCCAGGCUCCGGCCGUGCCUCACCAUCCAGUCGAUGCCAGACACGUCUGCUGCAGAGGAAAGAAGAGAACUAUGGCAAGUCCCCCACCAUCCAUUCCUCUUCAUCUGAGGAGGCUUCUGGCAGUUUGUCAAUUCACUGCCAUAAAAUGAAAAAACAAGAAGCAUCUAAAGGGAUGCCUUGCUUCCUCCAUUCCUCCCAAAAAGAGCUAAAACACAACACCUGUACCAGGCAGGAACAGCACCUGGGCAGACAGGGAAGCACACACAAACAAGGGACUCUCUUGUUCAACUCAAGUACUUCUGAUGGUUGCAAAAUUAUACAGGCUUUGACUCUCAAAUAAAAUUGUAAAAGUCAUUUGUAAUUUGAUACCAGUUAACAGAUUCCCUUUUUAAUCCGUAGCACUCCCAAACACUAUGAGCUCCUAUAAAAUUUGUGGUUUUUUUCUAACUUGGACGCAAAUCGGUCAAUUCUUCAGAAGCAUGUGAAGCCACCACGUGUGGUCUGCAAUUACCAUAAGCCAAAAGGUGGGAUGGCCCUCCUGUCCACCCUUGCCUGAACAUCCUGUCACCUCCCACCCUCUCUGUGUCAGCACCAGAAAUUACUCAGCCAUGUUGGUACUUUUAUCAAGUCGUCUGAUAACAAAUCCAGGGAAAAAAGAGUCUGGCUAUCCCCAAAUGACAACCAGUACCCUGUGCUCACUGUGUACCAGGGUGCACAAAUUAACAGCCACGGGUAAAGAAACGCACAAGAAAAUACAGAGCAGAGAUUCAGUCACAAAGCCUGAACCAGUGGCUGAGAAGGAAUCUUGCCUGCUUUCAGAAUCGGUUCCAGUCCCUGUGAACAGCUUCACCUACCCAGUAAGUGCUGGUGGAGAACAGUGCUGAGCUCCUCGUCCGACAGGAACGCGCACAGCUCCGCGAGGCAGCCGGCCGAGGCCAUGCGGGUGGCGUCCUGAGGAGGAAUGGGAGAGCAGGAACACGGGUUGAGCUCAACACACCAGGGACAGGCAGCAAGCAGAGCAAGUGCCAGAAGAUGACAGGAAACAAAAAGAGAAGGAGGAAAUAAAUAGUAGUAUUUCACUCCUAAUCCCUGUGGAUUUCUGCCAGUUCACAAGGUUUCUUGUACAUAAUGGAACUUAAAGCCAAAUCCAUGGUCAAAAAAGCCAGCAGAGACUGAAGAAUUACAGAUCUUAUCUAAGUUCUGAUUUGUUAAAUGGAAAAGUCAUAAAGAUGAAAGUGAAUGCUUUAAAAGAUGUGUGCACAAGAGUUUACUUUAGAUUCACUUACUAUAAGUGUUACUUCUAGCCAUCUCUGGAUGAGCUCAUCUCUGUGAUAAACUCUUACUACUUUUAAUUUAACACUCCCAGGCUGUUGUUAUUUUGGCUUCCUUAUGUGACGAUCCCAUUACUGAUCUUCUCACUGAAACUUACAACCCAAUGGGAAUGUUUCAAUUUUUCUGUUUCUAGAAUGUCAACAGUUGCAUGUCUGUUGCACUGAUUGACAUAAGAAAGAAAUUAUUAGAUGAUUAAUUUUAAUCUCACAGAUGUUACUGUUGCUAUCUGCCAUAUAAAAAAGACCCUAUAUUAAACUUGGAGAGCUUCUUGCUUGUUGGAGAAAAAUCUGCCAUUAUCUGAAAAAUUUCUCACACUAAACAAUAAACCCCAGCUGAGAGGCUUCAAACACACAUCCGUGCUCACAGGGAGGGUACUGCAGGUUUUCUCCAAGAUAAAAAGCAAAUCCUGACUGUAGAGCUGGCUCAAACCUGUUGGUGAGGAGCUACAGGUCAAACCCACAUAAGCAGUUGCCAAGGAAACAUUAAACUGGCAGAUUUUCAGAGUUACCAAGGACUGGCCAGGGAUCUCCAAUUCUUGCUCCUGACUACAUCAUUAGGAAUUUCCUCGGAAGUUAUUUUAGAAAAUAACUCUGUUAGAAGGUUCAGAUCUUAAAUGUAAGAGAAAGACUGUCUUCAGUGGGGGUCCUCUGCAGCUGGCUGAAGCAGUACCUCAUCGUGUCCCAGCAUCCCGAGAAGCACCGUGCUGAUAUUCUUCCUAAUUGCAGCAUCUACUUUUGCACCAGCUCCUCGUGUCACAAACCGCAGCGCUUGCAGCAUCGUGUCCCUGGAAGAGAAAUUUUGCUCUGGAUACCUGCAGCAAAUUCUUGCACAGCAAUUACACUGAUAUGCCUUACAGUUUGGGAGACUGAUCCUCUCUGUGCACUGCUGAAAACUCCAUCCUAGAGAGUACUUCCAUGUUUCUGUACUUGUGUCUGUCUGUUACACUAUAGAUAUUUUCUGACUGU